UACGUAGGGGGCAAGCGUUGUCCGGAUUUAUUGGGCGUAAAGCGUGCGCAGGCGGUUCGUCGUGUCCGAUGUGAAAGCCCCGGGCUCAACCUGGGAAUGGCAUUGGAAACUGGCGGGCUUGAGUGUGGCAGAGGGGGGUGGAAUUCCGCGUGUAGCAGUGAAAUGCGUAGAGAUGCGGAGGAACACCGAUGGCGAAGGCAGCCCCCUGGGCUAACACUGACGCUCAGGCACGAAAGCGUGGGGAGCAAACAGG
rnacentral:rRNA from 1 species